GGUUAACGAGGAAGCAAGAGAUAAAGUUUUGGAGGCGCAACAAAAAUACAAUGAAAUUCGAAGGCCAGUUUAUGUUUGGCACGCAAUGAAAUUAUCCAGAAAAUUCCAGACUUUUGGCUGACAACGAAGUUCCUUAUCCAUCCUAUGCUUGGUGAACUUCUAACUGAGGAUAAUCAACAGGAACGAUGGCAGGGUGUGCGUGGUGUAGACACCUAGACUAGCCAAUGAACGAUGGCGGGGUGCGCGUGGUGGCUAAGAAAUAUCGGCGGGAGGACUGGAGUAAUGUUGGAGACUGUAGGAA